ACUCAAAGGAAUUGACGGGGGCCCGCACAAGCGGAGGAACAUGUGGUUUAAUUCGAUGAUACGCGAGGAACCUUACCCGGGCUCGAACGGCAGAUGGACUUUUCAGAGAUGAGAAGGCUCUUCGGAGCGUCUGUCGAGGUGCUGCAUGGUUGUCGUCAGCUCGUGCCGUGAGGUGUCGGCUUAAGUGCCAUAACGAGCGCAACCCUUGUCGAUAGUUGCCAUCGGGUCUUGCCGGGGACUCUAUCGAGACUGCCUCCGUAAGGUGAGAGGAAGGGGGGGAUGACGUCAAAUCAGCACGGCCCUUACGUCCGGGGCGACACACGUGUUACAAUGGUGGUUACAGAGGGCUGCUCCCUGGUGACAGGAUGCCAAUCUCCAAAAGCCAUCUCAGUUCGGAUCGGAGUCUGCAACUCGACUCCGUGAAGUUGGAUUCGCUAGUAAUCGCGCAUCAGCCACGGCGCGGUGAAUACGUUCCCGGGCCUUGUACACACCGCCCGU
rnacentral:rRNA from 1 species